UACGGGGGGAGCAAGCGUUGUUCGGAUUUACUGGGCGUAAAGGGCGCGUAGGCGGCCACCGCAAGUCGACUGUGAAAUCUCCGGGCUUAACCCGGAAAGGCCAGCCGAUACUGCGGGGCUAGAGUGCAGAAGGGGCAACUGGAAUUCUCGGUGUAGCGGUGAAAUGCGUAGAUAUCGGAAGGAACGCCCGUGGCGAAAGCGAGAUCCUGGACGUUUUCUGACGCUGAGAUGCGAAAGCUAGGGGAGCAAACGGG
rnacentral:rRNA from 1 species